CCCUUAGAUGUUCUGGGCCGCACACGCGCUACACUGAAGGAGGCAGCGUGUACUCCUGGAUCGAAAGAUUUGGGUAACCCGCGAAUCUCCUUCGUGCUAGGGAUUGAGGUUUGCAAUUAUCCUUCAUGAACGAGGAAUUCCCAGUAAGUGCAAGUCAUAAGCUUGCGCUGACUACGUCCCUGCCCUUUGUACACACCGCCCGUCGCUACUACCGAUUGAAUGAUUUAGUGAGGACUUCGGACUGGGACCGAUGCGGCUUUCGGGCUGCGUCGGUAUUCUGGAAAGAUGUCCGAACUGUAUCAUUUAGAGGAAGUAAAAGUCAUAACA
rnacentral:rRNA from 1 species